AGCCCAGCUUGCUGGGUGGAUUAGUGGCGAACGGGUGAGUAACACGUGAGUAACCUGCCCUUAACUCUGGGAUAAGCCUGGGAAACUGGGUCUAAUACCGGAUAGGAGCGUCCACCGCAUGGUGGGUGUUGGAAAGAUUUAUCGGUUUUGGAUGGACUCGCGGCCUAUCAGCUUGUUGGUGAGGUAAUGGCUCACCAAGGCGACGACGGGUAGCCGGCCUGAGAGGGUGACCGGCCACACUGGGACUGAGACACGGCCCAGACUCCUACGGGAGGCAGCAGUGGGGAAUAUUGCACAAUGGGCGAAAGCCUGAUGCAGCGACGCCGCGUGAGGGAUGACGGCCUUCGGGUUGUAAACCUCUUUCAGUAGGGAAGAAGCGAAAGUGACGGUACCUGCAGAAGAAGCACCGGCUAACUACGUGCCAGCAGCCGCGGUAAUACGUAGGGUGCGAGCGUUAUCCGGAAUUAUUGGGCGUAAAGAGCUCGUAGGCGGUUUGUCGCGUCUGUCGUGAAAGUCCGGGGCUUAACCCCGGAUCUGCGGUGGGUACGGGCAGACUAGAGUGCAGUAGGGGAGACUGGAAUUCCUGGUGUAGCGGUGGAAUGCGCAGAUAUCAGGAGGAACACCGAUGGCGAAGGCAGGUCUCUGGGCUGUAACUGACGCUGAGGAGCGAAAGCAUGGGGAGCGAACAGGAUUAGAUACCCUGGUAGUCCAUGCCGUAAACGUUGGGCACUAGGUGUGGGGACCAUUCCACGGUUUCCGCGCCGCAGCUAACGCAUUAAGUGCCCCGCCUGGGGAGUACGGCCGC
rnacentral:rRNA from 1 species